GACGAACGCUGGCGGCGGGCUUAACACAUGCAAGUCGAAGGGAGUGGCGAACGGGUGAGUAACACGGGAGUAACCUGCCCCUUUCUUUGGGAUAAACCUGGGAAACUGGGUCUAAUACUUGAUGGAUUGGGAUGGGCGGGCGGCUUAUCGGUUUGUUGGUGGGGUGAUGGCUUACCAAGGCUUGGACGGGUAGCCGGCCUGGGAGGGUGGUCGGUCACACUGGGACGGAGAUACGGCCCAGACUCCUACGGGAGGCAGCAGUGGGGGAUAUUGCACAAUGGACGAAAGUCUGAUGCAGCGACGUCGUGUGGGGGAUGAAGGCCUUCGGGUUGUAAACUCCUUUCGCCCGCGGAAUGGUAGUGGGUAAAGAAGCGCCGGCUAACUACGUGCCAGCAGCCGCGGUAAUUC
rnacentral:rRNA from 1 species